rnacentral:rRNA from 1 species
ACAGAAGGGAGCUUGCUCCCGGAUGUUAGCGGCGGACGGGUGAGUAACACGUGGGUAACCUGCCUGUAAGACUGGGAUAACUCCGGGAAACCGGAGCUAAUACCGGAUAGUUCCUUGAACCGCAUGGUUCAAGGAUGAAAGACGGUUUCGGCUGUCACUUACAGAUGGACCCGCGGCGCAUUAGCUAGUUGGUGGGGUAAUGGCUCACCAAGGCGACGAUGCGUAGCCGACCUGAGAGGGUGAUCGGCCACACUGGGACUGAGACACGGCCCAGACUCCUACGGGAGGCAGCAGUAGGGAAUCUUCCGCAAUGGACGAAAGUCUGACGGAGCAACGCCGCGUGAGUGAUGAAGGUUUUCGGAUCGUAAAGCUCUGUUGUUAGGGAAGAACAAGUGCGAGAGUAACUGCUCGCACCUUGACGGUACCUAACCAGAAAGCCACGGCUAACUACGUGCCAGCAGCCGCGGUAAUACGUAGGUGGCAAGCGUUGUCCGGAAUUAUUGGGCGUAAAGGGCUCGCAGGCGGUUUCUUAAGUCUGAUGUGAAAGCCCCCGGCUCAACCGGGGAGGGUCAUUGGAAACUGGGAAACUUGAGUGCAGAAGAGGAGAGUGGAAUUCCACGUGUAGCGGUGAAAUGCGUAGAGAUGUGGAGGAACACCAGUGGCGAAGGCGACUCUCUGGUCUGUAACUGACGCUGAGGAGCGAAAGCGUGGGGAGCGAACAGGAUUAGAUACCCUGGUAGUCCACGCCGUAAACGAUGAGUGCUAAGUGUUAGGGGGUUUCCGCCCCUUAGUGCUGCAGCUAACGCAUUAAGCACUCCGCCUGGGGAGUACGGUCGCAAGACUGAAACUCAAAGGAAUUGACGGGGGCCCGCACAAGCGGUGGAGCAUGUGGUUUAAUUCGAAGCAACGCGAAGAACCUUACCAGGUCUUGACAUCCUCUGACAACCCUAGAGAUAGGGCUUUCCCUUCGGGGACAGAGUGACAGGUGGUGCAUGGUUGUCGUCAGCUCGUGUCGUGAGAUGUU